GAUGAACGCUGGCGGCGUGCCUAAUACAUGCAAGUCGAGCGAACAGACGAGGAGCUUGCUCCUCUGACGUUAGCGGCGGACGGGUGAGUAACACGUGGAUAACCUACCUAUAAGACUGGGAUAACUUCGGGAAACCGGAGCUAAUACCGGAUAAUAUAUUGAACCGCAUGGUUCAAUAGUGAAAGACGGUUUUGCUGUCACUUAUAGAUGGAUCCGCGCCGCAUUAGCUAGUUGGUAAGGUAACGGCUUACCAAGGCAACGAUGCGUAGCCGACCUGAGAGGGUGAUCGGCCACACGGGAACUGAGACACGGUCCAGACUCCUACGGGAGGCAGCAGUAGGGAAUCUUCCGCAAUGGGCGAAAGCCUGACGGAGCAACGCCGCGUGAGUGAUGAAGGUCUUCGGAUCGUAAAACUCUGUUAUUAGGGAAGAACAAAUGUGUAAGUAACUAUGCACGUCUGGACGGUACCUAAUCAGAAAGCCACGGCGAACUACGU
rnacentral:rRNA from 1 species